rnacentral:lncRNA from 1 species
UUUCUGUCUCUUCCACCAGGGGCUUCAGACUACAUGAGCUUGUUAUUUCAGCAGUCCCCUUUCUGGACUCUGAAGCUCGCAGCCCAACAUCAAGGCUUUGCAUAUUGGAUCUAAGUGGCAUUGGCAAUGUAUCUCUGCAUGUUGGCUGUUACCUCCAUAAGGUGAAAAAAAUUGAAAUGAACCAAGAAUGAGGAUUCUACUUGUAAAAAACUGAAAAUAUGAAUAAAUUUAGCAAGAUUAUUGUUAAGUUGUGACUU